UGCACGCUGAGCAGAGGACUUUACCCAGACAUGAGGUGUGCAGAGGGUCCACGGGUCUGACCUGAUGCAAGAACGGGGAGAUCUCCAAGCCACGCUGGUGAAGGGAGGGGCACAGAGUCUGCAUAUAUGUCUGUGCACCACCUGCCUGCCUGGGGCCCAUGGAGGUCAGAAGAGGACAUUGGAUCUUCUCCAACUGAAGUCCCAGAGGGUUGUGAGCUGCCACAUGAGUUCUGGGAGUUGAAUGUGGGUCCUCUGGAAGAGUUACUGGUGCUCUCAGCCACGGAGCCAUCACCUUUGAAAGAUGGAAAACUGGACAGGAUUCCUCCCUUCUGUUCUAAUAGGGCCUCUUGCCAGCCAAGAUGACCUCGCUUAAGGUCUGACUGUGAGGUUGCCAGGAAAUCAGAACGUAAGCUCACAAGGUGCUCUCUUAAGGGCUCACUCUGCAGCAGGGCAUCUCUCAUCUGAUGAUGAGUACAUCUGACGGCAGUGUGCAUAUCUUAGGGUAUCGCUAAGGGAAGUGUCCCAAAGAUGCUUAGCUGAGCCUUGCAUUGACUGUGUCAGUAAUUGAAAUUUGC
rnacentral:lncRNA from 1 species